CAAGGAUCAAAACACAAGUAAACAAGCAAGGCAUUGACUAGAAAAUGAAAACUAGACAGGCUCCAUAUUGUAGCUAUCACUAGGAGAGAGAUAACUUCUAGACAAUACUACAAGUACACAUCUUCUGUACAGAAUUUCCAAAAAAACACAAGUGAAGAAAAAAAAAAAAACAACAACAGAUACUAACACAUGUAACACGAUCAUCUGACAUGAAAUGGCAUCGAAACUGUAACGUUAUGGAAUAAAAUGUUGACCCAUGAAGAGGUAAUAAUUAGUCAAGCUUUGGGGUGUUGAUCGACUCCAUCUAUGUUUUGACUAUCAUUCUGAAUCCAAUUCAUAUUCUGUGUGCGAAGCAGUGACCCAGACAUUUGCAAGCCUUUCAUUUAGGUCUCACUCCAAACUGAGCAGCCGUCACAUUCAGCAUUUUCAGCAUACCAGCACCAUUAUACGACAUGGAGGUUGGAGGAGCUGGCAGAGUAAUUGUCAAGAAAAGAAGACACCAUUAACGUUAAAUUAAACAACGUUAUGACUUUUUUAUUUAAAAGAGAAUAUACGACUAGGUAAAGAUCUGACAUCUUCAAGGAUGAAGAUCUGGAUUUCUUCAAGGAUAACACACAUUUCUGCCAAACGAGAUCGUAAUUGCUUCUGUACUGUGCAUCCCAUGCAGCCCCUGCAUUCUUAUCAUGGGGAUGUUCAACAGAGAGCUCUCGGAUUUCAUCAGAAAUAUCUGUGUUCUGAAGAUGAACAAAGGUCUUAUGGGUUUGGAACGACAUGAGGUCUUCCUGUGAAGAAAUCCUGAACGAGGGUCAAAGGUUCAGAUGAAGGGAACCUACGCUUCCAAGACUCAUGUAUGAACAACUUCUUGAUUCCGUGUACAAUGGGACUUUUUUUUUCAAAUCUCAACAUAGAACUUGGACUGAAUAUGCAGCAAAAGAAAAAAAAAAUUACCUCAAACUGGCACAUGGCAAGAGAUACUAAAAGCACACAAACACUUGGAGCCCUGCGCUUAAUUUAGAUUGUAUAGUUCUCUUAGUUUAACAUGGAAAUGUCAGGCAUAAGUGCAUGAAUCUUUGUUCUUUAUUUUCAAAUGCUGUACAAGAAAGUUUUUUUUUUUUUUUUUUUUUUCAGUACCAUGUCAAUUGUAGAUGCAGAUAAUUUUGCAUAAUUAGAGGUUAGUAAUCUAACUUAAAGUGUUAGUUCACCUAUAAUAUUAUAUGAAAAUCUAAUUCCAAUCCUGUUAGACUUUUGUUAAUUUUUGGAACACUAAUGAAGAUCCUUUUUAAUGAAAUCUGACAGCUAUACCGUAUUGGACCUUGAAAUGGUAGUUGCAAAGGCUGUCAAUGGAGGGACAGAAAGCACAGAGAUUUCAUUAAAAAUACUCUUCAUUUGUGUUUCAAAGAUGAAUGAAAUUUGUAUGGAUUUGGAACAGUAUGAGGGAGAGUAACUUAUGACAGAAUUCACAUUUUUG
ensembl:lncRNA